GAAAGAAGUCUGGGAUUUGAGGGAUUCAAUAAAAUAAAAUGGGAGAUGUAAAGGGAAAGAGGUUUCCGUUGCAAAAUAGGAAUUGCAAAAAUAAGAUUUUCAAAAAAGUAAGUGCAAGGUUUUUAAGACGUCAAGCGUGGAAUGGCGGCCUGGGUGGGAUGGAACAUUGAAGAAAACCUGAGUUAUCCAAACUUGUGAAUUAGGUGGCAAUGGUGCAAACAGCAACAGCUAAAUUUGUAGAUGUAUAGAUAAACUCCUUUUAAAAAUGAGCCGGGUAUAGACCCAUUGCACUGACGUCACAAAUCCUUAGAGUGUUCUCCAGAUGCUCCCUAAAAAUAUCUGUUCGGUUACAACAACCACAUACAAUACAGGCCAAAAAUUAACCAUUUUAAUACAAAAAUUUUAUAAACUACAAAAUUUGCUUUGUUUACAAAAUCUAUAUUAUGCAUAGAUUGCUAAUUUGUCCUCCAGAUGCAUCGUCACUGGCGCUGUGACGUCAUGUGCAAUGGGUCUAUAGAGGGGGCUUGAUUUCUCUGGAGAAUAUUAAUUAACUGAACAAAAGAGGAAUUUUAUAUUCCAAAACAGAAAUUUUGAAAUUACCAGUUAAGCAAGUAUUAAAAUUUACAUGUAAUAAAAUUGUGUAUUAUAUCGCAUAAUUAUUUUCUAUAAAACUUCUGUAAUGUUACCCUGGUUGCCAGAGGUUCUGUAUCUUUCGCCUUAUUUCCGCUCG